GUAGUCAUAUGCUUGUCUCAAAGAUUAAGCCAUGCAUGUCUAAGUAUAAGCAAUUAUACCGUGAAACUGCGAAUGGCUCAUUAAAUCAGUUAUCGUUUAUUUGAUAAUACCUUACUACUUGGAUAACCGUGGUAAUUCUAGAGCUAAUACAUGCUGAAAAUCCCGACUUCGGAAGGGAUGUGUUUAUUAGAUAAAAAACCAAUGCCCUUCGGGGCUCCUUGGUGAUUCAUGAUAACUUUACGGAUCGCAUAGCCUUGCGCUGGCGACGGUUCAUUCAAAUUUCUGCCCUAUCAACUUUCGAUGGUAAGGUAUUGGCUUACCAUGGUUUCAACGGGUAACGGGGAAU
rnacentral:rRNA from 1 species